GACAAUUCUACAGCACCCAUUGUCAUGAAGGCUCUGAGACGCUAUGAGAUGGCUUCACGUCUACUGAUUACCAUAUAGAUGUUAAAGGGGACCAUGAAGAACGAACACUUCCUAUCUCAAGGACCAAGCUUCGUUUCAGCCUCUAUGGAUAAGAACAACUGCAAUGCAAGUCAAGCGAAGAGGGGCAGGGCAUGCCGAGAUGUGACUCAUCUCCUAGAGUUCUUGCCUGG